rnacentral:rRNA from 1 species
UACGGAGGGUGCAAACGUUGCUCGGAAUCAUUGGGCGUAAAGCGCACGUAGGCGGUCCUGUAAGUCGGGUGUGAAAUCCCUCGGCUUAACCAAGGAAGUGCAUUCGAAACUACAGGACUUGAGUACUGGAGAGGGUCGCGGAAUUCUCGGUGUAGAGGUGAAAUUCGUAGAUAUCGGGAGGAACACCAGUGGCGAAGGCGGCGACCUGGUCAGAUUACUGACGCUGAGGUGCGAAAGCGUGGGGAGCAAACAGGG